GUGCACGUUAGAAAUAGGCUCACAAAUACUGAUCAGCAUAUGGAGAAAGAUUCCCUCAACAAUGCAUGACUCACGUCCUUAUCCACAAGGCACCUUCUGAGAAUUUGCUCUCCAAUUCACACUCUUAAGCACUCUCACUCCUCCUAUAUAAACACACACAAAAAAAGGGGACACAUUGAGAGGGGACGGGCAAAAAAGGAAGCUUUCUUCUUCUUCCUCACAAUUACAUCAAAUAAAACUUCAAAUCCCUCACCAAACUCCAGUGAAAAUAAGUCCAAAAGGCAGCAAAAACCUGCUGCAAAUAGCCCCUAAAAAUACAGCACCUUUACUCCCACAAAACGCUAUGAAAAUCAUCAUCAAACAACCAUAACUGCUGCCCCAAAAAUAGCCCUUAAAGCUCCAUGAGAACGCAGCAAAAUCAGCACCAUUAAAGCACCAAAAUGACCUCAAAUCGGCCGCCGAACCAGCUACAAAACCAGCACCAAACAGUCCCCAAAACACCAUGUAAAGCAGCCAUUAACCACCCCAAACUCCUGCUGAAAUUCAGCUCCAAACCCAGCUGAAAAACAGCCCUUCGAAACCAGCAAAGCAGCUGCGAAAAUGACUCCAUAACACAACCAUGAAACUCCUCAAAAUUCCACCUGAAACCAACGUGAAAAUCAGCUGGGAAAACUCAGCUGAAAUCUGCCAUUGAAAUGCACCAAAAUCAGCCUCCGAAACACCUCAAAUCCACCCCAAAACGCAGCCAUUAAAGCUGCUCAAAACCACUCAAAAACGAGCAAAAAGGGACCUGAAACAGUAGCUCAAAUCGCUGCUAAUUCUACCAUGAAACAGUACCAAAAUACUACCAGAAUUCCAGCCGAACAAUCCUUGGAACACAAGUUUUAAGUCGAGUUUGAGGUUGCGGAUGAGGUCGUGGUUCGUUAGCUCCGGUCGAGUCCAUCUGAAAUUCAGUAUAUCGGAGAGUUUGUAAAAGACUAGGUUUGGAGGCUCUUUGUUCUGUUUGUUCAGAUUCGUCUGAGGUGCAUCUGCUCGUGCCGGUCGUUAGAGAUUACCUACUAGCUUCCUUUUUUGGAGACUUCAAGGUAUGCCUGCUCGCCAUCCGCAGGCCUCAGAGUCACCUUCCCUUAUUCUCAGUUACUGCUGUAUUUUCUCUCAAACAAUGAUGUAUCAGAUAUUUUAGUUUAUUCAAUAGUGCUUAUGACUCUGUUCCACAGUUCUUAGGGAUUGUAUGGUUGAGAUUUUGCUUUUCAGAAGUUUUAUGAGUUUAUCAAACUGGGUUUAA